rnacentral:lncRNA from 1 species
AGCAUUUUUGUCUUAAGGCUUGAUUUUUAAAUAGCAAAACAGAUAAUUGGAUGCAUCAGAUUUAUAUUUUUUUAAGUAAAUCAUAUAUUUUGUUUCGUUUCUGACCAGUUUUUUACAGGUCAGUCACUGAACGCAUGGUAAAUUUCGUGCGUUUCCAUUGUCAUCUCUUGUUAGAUUAACUGAAUGACAAAUAAUGAUGCGAGACAUUAAUCGACUUCGAAACUUUUUUUUAAACAUGCAUUAAAAAGAUUAUUUUCCUGUAAGAUUUGUUCGAGCGUACUAAUGAAACUAAAACCGGAAGAGAUGAACAGUGGCGCCAGACUGAGUGUUUUCUUAAGUGAUGGUAAUUUUUAUAUCCAAAUGCUGUUAUGGGAGAAAGAGAAAAUUGGUGUCAUAAUUCAAGUAGUUACUUUAUAUUUUGGUUAUUGGUGUUAAGGCAGAAUGAAGGAAGAAACCACUUCCUUGUUGUAUGCCUAUUGUCUAGUCAGUGCCACACCUGCCUAGGGGAAUGGCCGAUAUGUCCGGUUUGGGUGUACUGUAUUAUCAUGCUCCGUAUGCAGAUCAAACAUCAUUCUAUGCAAAAUCACAUCUUUCAUCCGAGUUUUAACGGUCGGUGCAUUGGCAGGAUUAAAAAUUAAAAAAAAAAAAAAAACUAGAUAGUUAUCGCUUUACUGUAAAUAGAUUUAAAGAUUUUAAGAUUAUUAUCUGAGAGCUUACAAGAAAUUGUUGGUUGAUCCCAGUGAGCUUAGCAUCGAUUUCGGAAGUUAUCGAAGUGUGAACAAGAUACAAAGCAAAGAAUAGAAAAAACCUGUUCGGAGUUUGUUAGUUAGAUUUUUUUCUCUUUUCUUUCGGAGUCUCUCGGGGUGUUUCUCUCUUUCCGGAAGUGGUCGAACGGCAGCUCCAUCUAUCAACGACAUUCAAAGACAUCCCGAUGGGACGGUUUUGGCAUUCAGCCCGGAUCACGAGCCAGCCACUGCCCUCCCUUGGGAAAUAAAUGAAACAAAUGAGAAGUCAGUUAGGUUGUUCCGGGUUUCGUACUUACUGGCUCUACUUCUCCCCGCAGCGCUCAAUUGAUUGAAUGGAAAGGCUUUUGUAGAUCAGCUAGAACAAUGAAGCUAUUGAAAUCAUUUAAAGAUGUCAGUCAUAUUCACCUGUAAAGACCUUUGUCUUUUUUCCCUCAACUUCAAACUGACCUUUAGAUUGCGAAUGUUACAUAUUUAUAGAUGGUAAAACGCAUAAAUAGAUGCACUCAACGUCGUAAAAUAAUUCGGACAAAUAACGUGAGAAAAGUUAGCGCGUCCUUGCUCUGUUGAGUCCUUGCACUGUCGUACGUAUACCAUUAAACGGACAACACCCAAAACAUCACGAAGUGUUGCGGGAAUAACAUCAUUCCCACGAUUUUAAAAAAGUUUUCUCCAAUUCUCAUCUACACUCGAAUUUUUAAUAUGCUACAUAUUCAAAAAUGACCAAAAACUAACUUAAAACGAGCGAAAAGGCUGUAAAAGUUUUCUUUCUUUGUUUCACCCAAAGGAAGAACUUUUUUUCACUUUUAAAUAACGGACUCGCAUUAAUUCCGUCUGAAAAUGUUUUGUUGUAACCACCUGGCCUGGUGCAAUUGCCAAUUAUUCUCGAUCGCCCGCGGUCACCUUUAAACUUUGCAGGUGUUUUUCUAGAAAUGCUAAUUGAGAGAAAUGUGGUAUUUUUGUUGAAAAGCAUGCUAGAUAUUGGAAAGAUUCAACAACGAGCACUAAAUCGUGAUUUAUUAUUAUACAGUAUUCUUAUUAAAAAAAUAUCGCAUUGCGCCAUCUGUUAUUAAAAUUAAGUAGUAUAAUAUUCGUAUGUGAUCCUCCGGGAGAGAAUUGCAUUGGGAUGCUUUCAGUAUCUUGCGUGCCUAACUGAAAUUAACAGAUUCUAACACGAAUUCGUUUGUUACGUCAAGAUCUCUCGCCUCUCACUAUUCUUCUGUACGUGACGUCCUUAUUAAUUUCG